GUUCUGUUUUAGUAUCAGUAAGAAGCUUGGAACGUAAUAAUAAUGAUUCACCUGCGACCUUAUCGUUAGGUUCAGAAGUUAAUACUUCUCCACAAGACUCCUUAAUCAUUACUGAACCAUGUAAUGUUGAUGAUCAAAUUGUAGACAAACUAAAUGAAAUUAUAAGAAAAACCACUCGGGUAGAAAUUAUGGUGAAAAGAUUAUUACAAAAAAUUAGUAAUGAUCCUACACAUACCCCAUUACAUAAUACUGACAGUAUUAGUAAUACAUGUAUACAACCUUUUACAAAGUACCGGCUGUUAUGUGAAUACGAAGAAAGAUUAAAAUCUGGCGAGGACGCCAGAAAAGAACUGGACAACAUUUUCCGCUUAUGUGGAGGCAACUCCACUAAAGAAAAUAUAAAAAGGGGUUUGCGCCGCAUAUUUGAUGAUAAAUUGGCUCGUAAAUGCUCUUGGCUGGGUAGAAAAAAUAAUUUUCAAGUGUCUAACUUGAUCAUUAUGGAUGUACUAAAAAUACAUUUUAGAUGCAGUUCGAAAAAAUUUUCCGUUAUUAACCGACAAAAUAUUUGAAUUAACUGUUUCUACAUGGCUGAGACAAGCAAAUCUUCGCUUCACGAGAAAACUUGAGAAAUAGUUGUAUGUAUAACUUUAACUUCCUGUCAGUAUUUUUUUAUAUUUUUUGUAUUUUGUUUUAUUUUAACUGUGCACUUUGUAAGUUACUUUUGUUUAAAAUUACCAUAUCAUAUAUGUAAUAAAUACA